rnacentral:rRNA from 1 species
GGGACUAGUGAUCCGGCGGUGGCUUGUGGAAGCGCCGUCGCUCAACGGAUAAAAGGUACCCCGGGGAUAACAGGCUGAUCUUCCCCAAGAGUCCAUAUCGACGGGAUGGUUUGGCACCUCGAUGUCGGCUCGUCGCAUCCUGGGGCUGGAGUCGGUCCCAAGGGUUGGGCUGUUCGCCCAUUAAAGCGGUACGCGAGCUGGGUUUAGAACGUCGUGAGACAGUUCGGUCCCUAUCCGCUGUGCGCGUAGGAGUCUUGAGAAGGGCUGUCCCUAGUACGAGAGGACCGGGACGGACGAACCUCUGGUGUGCCAGUUGUUCUGCCAAGGGCAUGGCUGGUUGGCUACGUUCGGGAGGGAUAACCGCUGAAAGCAUCUAAGCGGGAAGCCUGCUUCGAGAUGAGGGCUCCCACCCACUUGAUGGGGUAAGGCUCCCAGUAGACGACUGGGUUGAUAGGCCGGAUAUGGAAGCACGGUAACGUGUGGAGUUGACCGGUACUAAUAGGCCGAGGGCUUGUCCUCAGUUG